UCAGGAUGAACGCUGGCGGCGUGCCUAAUACAUGCAAGUCGAGCGAACGGAUAAGGAGCUUGCUCCUUUGAAGUUAGCGGCGGACGGGUGAGUAACACGUGGGUAACCUACCUAUAAGACUGGAAUAACUUCGGGAAACCGGAGCUAAUGCCGGAUAACAUUUGGAACCGCAUGGUUCUAAAGUAAAAGAUGGUUUUGCUAUCACUUAUAGAUGGACCCGCGCCGUAUUAGCUAGUUGGUAAGGUAACGGCUUACCAAGGCAACGAUACGUAGCCGACCUGAGAGGGUGAUCGGCCACACUGGAACUGAGACACGGUCCAGACUCCUACGGGAGGCAGCAGUAGGGAAUCUUCCGCAAUGGACGAAAGUCUGACGGAGCAACGCCGCGUGAGUGAUGAAGGUUUUCGGAUCGUAAAACUCUGUUAUUAGGGAAGAACAAAUGUGUAAGUAACUGUGCACAUCUUGACGGUACCUAAUCAGAAAGCCACGGCUAACUACGUGCCAGCAGCCGCGGUAAUACGUAGGUGGCAAGCGUUAUCCGGAAUUAUUGGGCGUAAAGCGCGCGUAGGCGGUUUCUUAAGUCUGAUGUGAAAGCCCACGGCUCAACCGUGGAGGGUCAUUGGAAACUGGGAAACUUGAGUACAGAAGAGGAAAGUGGAAUUCCAUGUGUAGCGGUGAAAUGCGCAGAGAUAUGGAGGAACACCAGUGGCGAAGGCGACUUUCUGGUCUGUAAC
rnacentral:rRNA from 1 species